ACUUGGUCUUGCUGGCCACAGACUUACUUCUCGCAACGAUCCUUUCUUGCCUCCUUUAUGCCUUUGCAUUCGUUUCCAUUGCUGUUUUUACCUGCUUCAUUAUCUUCUGGUCCUUCGGCGUCGUGGAGAAGAACAUUGACAUAAAAGGGAGAGCAAUUGUAAUUCUCGUAUCCAACAGCUCAAUUGGGAGGACGUUUGCUAGGAACUUGGAUAAAGCAGGUUUUAGGGUGUCUGCUGCACACUGGCCUCCUCAAGAGGAGGGAACAACUGCGAAAGAAGAGUGCUCUUCAAGAAUGGAGGUAGCACAGCUCCACAUGACAGAUGAUGAGUACCAGAAGACAAUGAAAACCUUCAUAGAAAGCCACUUAUCCCUGAAAGGUGGCAGGAAUGAAAAAUGAUGAAUUCAACGAAAAACAACCAAACAAGCUCUGGUAGUUGGAUGCUUAUGUUCUAUUGGCUCCUGAAGCCUUUAGCGUCCUAAAGCUGCACCCUCCUCAUUUUGCCCCCAGUUGGCUCAGGAAGGGAGCACUCAUCAUGCACGUAUGGGCUGAUGAAGAAGCCAUCAAUCCUGAUAUGGGAAGAAGUGGAACCAGACACGUGCAGGUUACCCGAGAGAAGAACCCCUCAUAAAUGGAAGAAGGUUUUCAGGGUUCCAGGUAGGAACCACUUGUAGCAGCUGAGUGUAAUCAGAUACACUGCAUUUCUCUAGAAAUGUCUAGAUAAGGGAGAAAAAAUAAGUUUGUUUUGUUUUUAUUUUUCCUUAAUAUCUUUCAAAAAUGGUUUUUUUCAUGUCUCAUUGAGUCUUUGGUAUAUUCUAAAACAAAGCCCAUUUUCCUUGGCCAGCACAGUGGGGAAGGAGGUGGGAGGCAGCAUCCAUAACCACCCUAUUAACCCUCUGUUGCUGCUUUCCUUUGCUCCGGUCACACUGGAGGGGCACAGUGCAUAGCUGCACAGUGUGGUUGGAGCUCAGCAUGGGCAGUUCUUUCCCACCCAAGCCCUCGCUCUGUUCCCACAGCCCCCAUAAAAGGGGCACUGCAAUAGGAGUGGGAUGGGAGAGCAGUGUCUCUGUGGUUUGUUCAGCUCUGGUAAUCCAAAGCACAUAAAGGCUGAAAAUGCUUUUCAGGAUGGACUUUUUUUUCCGCACAGAUUAAUAUUUCCUUUCGCUGUUGAGCUUGUGGUUGAGACUGCAGGUUGGUCAAAACUUUUCUGGUUGCAGCCCUCUGCAUCACAGCCCUCUUUUGCCCACUGAACUGUGCCCUGACUUUCCUGAAGAAGAGAGUUCUGCAGCCCCGUAUGCUCUUGAAGCCCAAAAACUGAGGUAAGAUAGCACACUCAUGGCUUAGCUACACACACGUGACAGAGCCAAGCAGCACCUCCUGCAUGGCCAGCUUAGCCCUGCUGGGACAAGGCAAGGACCGGAACACAGCCUGGAAUGGCCUCCUGCACUCUGACACCUGAGGGGUGCUUCCUUUCUGCACCAACCCGGCCCCCUGGCCUGGGGCACAGCACCAUGCAGCCAACCACUUGGCAGAGCCAAGCCAACUUAUGUGAGGCAGAGGAAUUCAAGACAGGCAGUAGUUGUUUUUUAAGCUCUAAACAAAAAUAGUCUGUAGUCUGGUCAUUGCUGGAUCCUCCUUGCCCCAUUGCUGUGUUUUCUCUGCUGCUCUGAUGGCUCCAGUUACACAUACCUAUAAGAACAACUGAAACAGUAUAUUCUUCAAUGUCCCUAAGUGAGACAAAGCACCCUAUUUGUUGAUCCAGGCUAGAAUACAGGAAGAGAAAAGAAAAAAGAAAAAAAAAAAGAGUAAGUUAGUGACAGAGGUGGAUUGCCAAGGAUCCUGGCUGGCUGGUCUGAUCCUUCCCUGGAGAAAGGGAAAGGGCCCCUGGCUCUCCAUCUGCAACUCUCCCAUCAAGUGCCCAGUUCUCAGUAGCAUCUUUGCUUUGAUAUUCCUGAGUUUUGGCUCAGGGCUAUGAGGCACGCUGUAGAUGAUGUGUUGAACAUUAGGUGGAACUGAAGUCUAUUCCUUCCACAGCACGCUCACCAGUGGCUGCUGUGGUGGAAACAACACAGUGCAGGUAUGAUGAGGGAAUGAAUGCAGUAAAAUGGCAUCGUCUGAAUGAAGUCAGAUGAAACAACUGAAUAGCACUAAAGAACUACAACUGUCCUAAUAUUUUUCAGCAGGGAAGGAGACCCAUGGAGCAACACAAAUUAAUAUUCUAAUGUCACAAAAAGAAGACGCUACAGGAAGGAGCACAGCUGGGAUCUAAAAUGAGGGAGAACGAGUAGUGACUUCAGUCACAGGACAACGAAAAACUGCAGAUGAAGACAGAAAGCAACUCCUGAACUGUGAGACAGGUCUCUAACUCACUUUCAAGUCUAAUGUGUAAGCAAGAGGACACUGAUGUUUGGGGUUCUGUUACAAUGCUGCACUGCACACACUAGGAUACACACACACACACACACACACAGAGAAAGAAGGAAAAAAUGACAACAUGAGGUAAAAGAAAAUGAAGGAAUAAUUUCUCUGAGAAGAAAAAUGCAAGGGCUUAGGUUUCUUUAUCUGAAGCCGCAACUAAGAACUACCUGACUGAUGAUAAGAGAUCCAGAAGCUGGAUCCAGAGAGAAAAGGGAAAGCUUUCAGAACUGCUUCUAGAAGGCAUUAAAUCAGCCUGCUAUCCAGCCAGAUUGGAAACAAAUAUUUUAAUUCCAAAACGUCACAGCACUGGGAGAGAAACCUGCUAAAGCAAAAAAAUUCUGAAUGAAAACCUUGUGGUUUUUAGUUUAUGUAUUUGACAAGCAACUCGUUAUACUAACAACACCAAUACUACAUAUUCUGCAGAAUAUUCCAGGAAAGGUGUCCUUUAGCCAGAACCCAGUUUGAGCCAGGGCUCUCAACUCAGUGUGUCACUCCAUUCUGUGCAUGCCACCUUGUGCAAUUUCAGCUGAUAGCCAACAUUUCCUCGCCCAGACUAACACAGAGGACUUGUGUGGGGCACCACCUGCCUAUUGCUUUUCCCCCCUCAAAAGUGACCUUCACUCAAAGGCCAACACCUACUUGUGUACACAGCAGUCUCCGCUGCCUGAAUCUAGAGACACUGUAUGAACAAAGCUCCCAGAGACUCCACUGGAAAUGUUGCUUGCUCAAGGAUGUGAGGAUGGUCCAUGUUUGUUUAUGAAGUUUCCCAGUCCACUGAGAUGCAGAGAACUACUGCAUGCAGGCAUGAAAUUGUGACUGAGAGGAAAUACCACCACAGGAUAAACUACAAUAUAACUGCACUUAAAAGUGUGUUUAGAACAAAUUUGAUAUAGCAAACUAACACUGAAGUUAC
rnacentral:lncRNA from 1 species